UACGUAGGUGGCAAGCGUUGUCCGGAAUUAUUGGGCGUAAAGCGCGCGCAGGCGGUCCUUUAAGUCUGAUGUGAAAUCCCACGGCUCAACCGUGGAAGGUCAUUGGAAACUGGGGGACUUGAGUACAGAAGAGGAAAGCGGAAUUCCAAGUGUAGCGGUGAAAUGCGUAGAGAUUUGGAGGAACACCAGUGGCGAAGGCGGCUUUCUGGUCUGUAACUGACGCUGAGGCGCGAAAGCGUGGGGAGCAAACAGG
rnacentral:rRNA from 2 species